CAGCAGCAGCCGCGGUAAUACGGAGGGUGCAAGCGUUAAUCGGAAUUACUGCGCGUAAAGCGCACGCAGGCGGUCUGACAAGUCAGAUGUGAAAUCCCCGGGCUUAACCUGGGAACUGCAUUUGAAACUGUCAGGCUGGAGUCUUGUAGAGGGGGGUAGAAUUCCAGGUGUAGCGGUGAAAUGCGUAGAGAUCUGGAGGAAUACCGGUGGCGAAGGCGGCCCCCUGGACAAAGACUGACGCUCAGGUGCGAAAGCGUGGGGAGCAAACAGGAUUAGAUACCCCGGUAGUCCCUGUCUCUUAUAC
rnacentral:rRNA from 1 species